rnacentral:rRNA from 1 species
UACGUAGGGGGCAAGCGUUGUCCGGAUUUAUUGGGCGUAAAGAGCGUGUAGGCGGCCAGACAGGUCUGCUGUGAAAACUCGAGGCUCAACCUCGAGACGCCGGUGGAAACCGUUUGGCUAGAGUCCGGAAGAGGAGAGUGGAAUUCCUGGUGUAGCGGUGAAAUGCGCAGAUAUCAGGAAGAACACCCGUGGCUAAGGCGGCUCUCUGGGCCGAUACUGACGCUGAGGAGCGAAAGCGUGGGGAGCGAACAGG